rnacentral:rRNA from 1 species
GACGAACGCUGGCGGCGUGCUUAACACAUGCAAGUCGAACGCUGAAGCUUGGUGCUUGCACUGGGUGGAUGAGUGGCGAACGGGUGAGUAAUACGUGAGUAACCUGCCCUUGACUCUGGGAUAAGCCUGGGAAACUGGGUCUAAUACAGGAUAUGACAUGCCACUGCAUGGUGGUGUGUGGAAAGGUUUUUACUGGUUUUGGAUGGGCUCACGGCCUAUCAGCUUGUUGGGGGGGUAAUGGCCUACCAAGGCGAAGACGGGUAGCCGGCCUGAGAGGGUGACCGGCCAAACUGGGACUGGGACACGGCCCAGACUCCUACGGGAGGCAGCAGUGGGGAAUAUUGCACAAUGGGCGGAAGCCUGAUGAAGCGACGCCGCGUGAGGGAUGACGGCCUUCGGGUUGUAAACCUCUUUCAGCACGGAAGAAGCGAGAGUGACGGUACGUGCAGAAGAAGCGCCGGCUAACUACGUG